CUGUUCCAGACUGCUUCACCAUACUGCUUUUUAUGUUUCAAUAAUCGUGUUAACACACCUCACAGUGAGAUGUAACCACAAUGUCUGACAAAUAUGUAAUUUCUGCCUUGUUUCUCAAGCAGGCUGUAUUGGGGGGACAUUGGUAAAACGCUGCAUGUCUAUUCAUUACACAUUGCAACCUUUAUUGUCUACGUAUGUGCUGAGAAGAUACAUUUAAAUACACCCCACGCACAAACACACACAUAUAUAGUUUAAAACUUUACUGUAUAUAUUUGAAAUGUGUGUGUGUGUGUGCAUAUACAU